rnacentral:rRNA from 1 species
GGGAAGAAUUUAAAGUCGGGCCUGCCCACUGAAGUAUUUUGAAGGGCCGCGGUAUUUUGACCGUGCAAAGGUAGCAUAAUCAUUAGUCUUUUAAUUGAAGGCUGGAAUGAAUGGUUUGACGAAGUAUUGACUGUCUCUUUGUAAAAAAUGGAAUUUAACUUUUGAGUCAAAAGGCUUAAAUGAUAGUAGAGGACGAGAAGACCCUAUAGAGUUUUAUAUGAAUAAUAAAUAAUUUUAUUUUGGUAGUGGUAAAUUUUAAUUAUUAUUUGUAUUGUGUUGGGGUGACAUAAAGAUAUAAGAAACUCUUUAUUAUUAUAAACAUAAAUUUAUGAGUUAGUGAUCCAUUAUUAAUGAUUAUAAGAUCAAAUUACCUUAGGGAUAACAGCGUAAUUUUCUUUGAGAGUUCGUAUCGAAAAGAAAGUUUGCGACCUCGAUGUUGGACUAAGAUAAUGGUUUGGUGUAGCAGCUAAAUUAAUAAGUCUGUUCGACUUUUAAAAUCUUAC